rnacentral:rRNA from 1 species
AUGCCCGGCCCAAUGAGCAUAAUCACCCUCGGCUGCGACAAGAGGGAUGCGCUCAUUUGCGACGAUCAACUUUACCGAGAGGCAGUUGCAGGGUCCGUCGCCAAGAUACUUGCUCCCGCCACCGAGAAGAAGACUGGCAAGGCUCCGGCCGCCGGCAAGGCUCCUGGCUCUAGCAAGGGCUCCUGCACUCUCUCCGGCAAACGUGCCUCUUUGGAGUGUUGUGUUCCCGUUGAGGACGUGCCAGAGAGCUCUACCGGCAAGAGCAAGAAAUCAAAGGCGGCCCCGCCAGAAACCAAGGAGGUGCCCGUCAAGGAGGAUGGCAUGGGUGGAGUUUUUACAUAA